rnacentral:rRNA from 1 species
AGUGAACGCUGGCGGUAGGCCUAACACAUGCAGGUCGAACGGCAGCACAGGAGAGCUUGCUCUCUGGGUGGCGAGUGGCGGACGGGUGAGGAAUACAUCGGAAUCUACUUUUUCGUGGGGGAUAACGUAGGGAAACUUACGCUAAUACCGCAUACGACCUACGGGUGAAAGCAGGGGACCUUCGGGCCUUGCGCGAUUGAAUGAGCCGAUGUCGGAUUAGCUAGUUGGCGGGGUAAAGGCCCACCAAGGCGACGAUCCAUAGCUGGUCUGAGAGGAUGAUCAGCCACACUGGAACUGAAACACGGUCCAGACUCCUACGGGAGUCAGCAGUGGGGAAUAUUGGACAAUGGGCACAAGCCUGAUCCAGCCAUACCGCGUGGGUGAAGAAGGCCUUCGGGUUGUAGAGCCCUUUUGUUGGGAAAGAAAUCCAGCUGGCUAAUACCCGGUUGGGAUGACGGUACCCAAAGAAUAAGCACCGGCUAACUUCGUGCCAGCAGCCGCCGUAA